UGGCCAGAGGACUCAUUAGCUGAUUCCGCAGGAAUAGCUUUAACUCGUGCAGGUAAAAUGGAGUGUUGUUUAUCAUAUUCGGAAGCAACAACUGAGUAUGAUCUUUGGAAGACAGUUCUCUUUGCAAGAUCAGUAUCAGUUAUGGGACUGGUUUCUAAACUGUAGAUGGAACAAUGCAACAGAUACAAACUCAGAAGAGCUGAAUGAAAUGUAACUAUACUUAUAAUGAUGCAAAAUAUGAGACUCAAUAUUUCAUGUGGAGAAACAAAAUCAAAGCCAAAUUGAUAAUCUCUCUUUAAAUCAUAAUUUGAUCCUGUCAAAUGCGUAACAUUUUGACUGAUUUCAGCACUGUACCUUAAAACUUAUGGUUUUCUUAAAUCUACUUUGCAUUUUAAAUGAAAAAGAAGAAAGGAUUCCAAGCUCCUUUUAGAAUCAAAAGCACUGGGGUGGAAUUCAUGUGUCAUAAUAUUCAGGAAAAACAGCCAGAUAUAAUCGUAAGUGCACCAAAUAGAAAGAAAAUGGAUAUGUACACAUGAAAACCUAAUAAAACAGAAAAC
rnacentral:antisense_RNA from 1 species